UUUAAUGACUUACGUCUGCCUUAAAUUAAUCUCUUGGAUACAUAAUAUUUGUUAGCCUAAAAGCUACUUACAUCCUACUUUGAAUUUAUUUUAAAUUAUUUAAAACUGUAUUGAUGUGUGGCUUACCGAUAGUAGUACUUUUCGGCCUUACCACGAGUUUUGGUAUAUCACUCCCGUCUUUGAGACAUUUAUGGAUCGCUCCACUUUUCAAAGUCUAAAUAAGCACCUACUAUGUUCAGAAUCUACCCAACUCGAUUAGAUCGAUUUUAAAGUGAUAAGUUAGAUUUUAUUAUAACGAAUGG
rnacentral:lncRNA from 1 species